rnacentral:rRNA from 3 species
UUCAACAACGGAUCUCUUGGUUCUGGCAUCGAUGAAGAACGCAGCGAAAUGCGAUAAGUAGUGUGAAUUGCAGAAUUCAGUGAAUCAUCGAAUCUUUGAACGCACAUUGCGCCCCUUGGUAUUCCAUGGGGCAUGCCUGUUCGAGCGUCAUUUGUA